UACGAGUGCCUCAAGCGUUAUCCGGAAUCAUUGGGCGUAAAGCGCGCGCAGGCGGUCUUCCAAGUCAGUGGUGAAAGCCCGGAGCUCAACUCCGGAACUGCCAUUGAAACUGUUAGACUUGAGGAUGAGAGAGGUGAGUGGAAUUCCCAGUGUAGAGGUGAAAUUCGUAGAUAUUGGGAAGAACACCGGUGGCGAAGGCGGCUCACUGGCUCAUUACUGACGCUCAGGCGCGAUAGCGUGGGGAUCAAACAGG
rnacentral:rRNA from 1 species